AUUGAACGCUGGCGGCAGGCUUAACACAUGCAAGUCGAGCGGGGUGAUGGUGCUUGCACUAUCACUUAGCGGCGGACGGGUGAGUAAUGCUUAGGAAUCUGCCUAUUAGUGGGGGACAACAUCUCGAAAGGGAUGCUAAUACCGCAUACGUCCUACGGGAGAAAGCAGGGGAUCACUUGUGACCUUGCGCUAAUAGAUGAGCCUAAGUCGGAUUAGCUAGUUGGUGGGGUAAAGGCCUACCAAGGCGACGAUCUGUAGCGGGUCUGAGAGGAUGAGCCGCCACACUGGGACUGAGACACGGCCCAGACUCCGACGGGAGGCAGCAGUGGGGAAUAUUGGACAAUGGGGGGAACCCUGAUCCAGCCAUGCCGCAUGUGUGAAGAAGGCCUUAUGGUUGUAAAGCACUUUAAGCGAGGAGGAGGCUCUUUUGGUUAAUACCCAAGAUGAGUGGACGUUACUCGCAGAAUAAGCACCGGCUAACUCUGUGCCAGCCGCCGCAGUAA
rnacentral:rRNA from 1 species